UUAAGCGACUAAGCGUACACGGUGGAUGCCCUGGCAGCAGAGGCGAUGAAGGACGUGCUAAUCUGCGAUAAGCGUCGGUAAGGUGAUAUGAACCGUAUAACCGGCGAUUUCCGAAUGGGGAAACCCAGUGUGUUUCGACACACUAUCAUUAACUGAUCCAUAGGUUAAUGAGGCGAACCGGGGGAACUGAAACAUCUAAGUACCCCGAGGAAAAAAAUCAACCGAGAUUCCCCCAGUAGCGGCGAGCGAACGGGGAGGAGCCCAGAGCCUGAACAGUGUGUGUGUUAGUGGAAGCGUCUGGAAAGGCGCGCGAUACAGGGUGACAGCCCCGUCACAAAAAUGCACAUAUUGUGAGCUCGAUGAGUAGGGCGGGACACGUGGUAUCCUGUCUAAUAUGGGGGGACCAUCCUCCAAGGCUAAAUACUCCUGACUGACCGAUAGUGAACCAGUCCGUGAGGGAAAGGCGAAAAGAACCCCGGCGAGGGGAGUGAAAAAGAACCUGAAACCGUUACGUACAAGCAGUGGGAGCCUCUUUUAUGGGGUGACUGCGUACCUUUUGUAUAAUGGGCAGCGACUUAUAUUCUGUAGCAAGGUUAACCGAAUAGGGGAGCCGAAGGGAAACCGAGUUUAACUGGGCGUUAAGUUGCAGGGUAUAGACCCGAAACCCGGUGAUCUAGCCAUGGGCAGUUGAAGGUUGGGUAACACUAACUGGAGGACCGAACCGACUAAUGUUGAAAAAUUAGCGAUGACUUGUGGCUGGGGGUGAAAGGCCAAUCAAACCGGGAGAUAGCUGGUUCUCCCCGAAGCUAUUUAGGUAGCGCCUCGUGAAUUCAUCUCCGGGGGUAGAGCACUGUUUCGGCAAGGGGUCAUCCCGACUUACCAACCCGAUGCAAACUGCGAAUACCGGAGAAUGUUAUCACGGAGACACACGGCGGGUGCUAACGUCCGUCGUGAAGAGGGAAACAACCCAGACCGCCAGCUAGGUCCCAAAGUCAUGGUUAAGUGGGAAACGAUGUGGGAAGGCCCAGACAGCCAGGAUGUGGCUUAGAAGCAGCCAUCAUUUAAAGAAAGCGUAAUAGCUCACUGGUCGAGUCGGCCUCGCGGAAGAUGUAACGGGGCUAAACCAUGCACCGAAGCUGCGGCAGCGACACUAUGUGUGUUGGGUAGGGGAGCGUUCUGUAAGCCUGUGAAGGUGUGCUGUGAGGCAUGCUGGAGGUUCAGAAGUGCGAAUGCUGACAUAAGUAACGAUAAAGCGGGUGAAAAGCCCGCUCGCCGGAGACCAAGGGUUCCUGUCCAACGUUAAUCGGGGCAGGGUGAGUCGACCCCUAAGGCGAGCCGAAAGGCGUAGUCGAUGGGAAACAGGUUAAUAUUCCUGUACUUGGUGUUACUGCGAAGGGGGACGGAGAAGGCUAUGUUGGCCGGGCGACGGUUGUCCCGGUUUAAGCGUGUAGGCGGUUUUCCAGGCAAAUCCGGAAAAUCAAGGCUGAGGCGUGAUGACGAGGCACUACGGUGUGAAGCAACAAAUGCCCUGCUUCCAGGAAAAGCCUCUAAGCAUCAGGUAACAUCAAAUCUACCCCAAACCGACACAGGUGGUCAGGUAGAGAAUACCAAGGCGCUUGAGAGAACUCGGUGAAGGAACUAGGCAAAAUGGUGCCGUAACUUCGGGAGAAGGCACGCUGAUAUGUAGGUAAGUCCCUCGCGGAUGGAGCUGAAAUCAGUCGAAGAUACCAGCUGGCUGCAACUGUUUAUAAAAACACAGCACUGUGCAAACACGAAAGUGGACGUAUACGGUGUGACGCCUGCCCGGGCCGGAAGGUUAAUUGAUGGGGUCAGCGCAAGCGAAGCUCUUGAUCGAAGCCCCGGUAACGGCGGCCGUAACUAUAACGGUCCUAAGGUAGCGAAAUUCCUUGUCGGGUAAGUUCCGACUGCACGAAUGGCGUAAUGAUGGCCAGGCUGUCUCCACCCGAGACUCAGUGAAAUUGAAUCGCUGUGAAGAUGCAGUGUACCCGCGGCAAGACGGAAAGACCCCGUGAACCUUUACUAAGCUUGACACUGAACAUUGAGCCUUGAUGUGUAGGAUAGGUGGGAGGCUUAGAAGUGUGACGCCAGUCUGCAUGGAGCCGACCUUGAAAUACCACCCUUUAAUGUUUGAUGUUCUAACUGGACCCGUGAUCCGGGUUGCGGACAGUGUCUGGUGGGUAGUUUGACUGGGGCGGUCUCUCCUAAAGAGUAACGGAGGAGCACGAAGGUUGGCUAAUCCUGGUCGGACAUCAGGAGGUAGUGCAAUGGCAUAAGCCAGCUUGACUGCGAGCGUGACGGCGCGAGCAGGUGCGAAAGCGGUCAUAGUGAUCCGGUGGUUCUGAAUGGAAGGGCCAUCGCUCAACGGAUAAAAGGUACCCGGGGAUAACAGGCUGAUACCGCCCAAGAGUUCAUAUCGACGGCGGUGUUUGGCACCUGAUGUCGGCUCAUCACAUCCUGGGGCUGAAGUAGGUCCCAAGGGUAUGGCUGUUCGCCAUUAAAGUGGUACGCGAGCUGGGUUUAGAACGUCGUGAGACAGUUCGGUCCCUAUCUGCCUGGGCGCUGGAGAACUGAGGGGGGCUGCUCCUAGUACGAGAGGACCGGAGUGGACGCAUACUGGUGUUCGGGUUGUCAUGCCAAUGGCACUGCCCGGUAGCUAAAUGCGGAAGAGAUAGUGCUGAAAGCAUCUAAGCACGAAACUUGCCCCGAGAUGAGUUCUCCCUGACUCCUUGAAGUCCUGAAGGAACGUUGAAGACGACGACGUUGAUAGGCCGGGUGUGUAAGCGCAGCGAGCGUUGAGCUAACCGGUACUAAUGAACCGUGAGGCUUAACCUU
rnacentral:rRNA from 1 species